rnacentral:rRNA from 1 species
GGGGAAUUUUGGACAAUGGGCGCAAGCCUGAUCCAGCCAUGCCGCGUGCAGGAUGAAGGCCUUCGGGUUGUAAACUGCUUUUGUACGGAACGAAACGGUCUUUUCUAAUAAAGAAGGCUAAUGACGGUACCGUAAGAAUAAGCACCGGCUAACUACGUGCCAGCAGCCGCGGUAAUACGUAGGGUGCAAGCGUUAAUCGGAAUUACUGGGCGUAAAGCGUGCGCAGGCGGUGAUGUAAGACAGAUGUGAAAUCCCCGGGCUCAACCUGGGAACUGCAUUUGUGACUGCAUCGCUGGAGUGCGGCAGAGGGGGAUGGAAUUCCGCGUGUAGCAGUGAAAUGCGUAGAUAUGCGGAGGAACACCGAUGGCGAAGGCAAGCCCCUGGGCCUGCACUGACGCUCAUGCACGAAAGCGUGGGGAGCAAAC